CCCCCCCAAAAAAAAACAAUCGCUUGUGGACCAGACUUAAGUUUGCAGCCUGAGACACUGAAGGUCCAGUUCUUUGCUGGUAUCAUGUUCAGAAGAUCAACCCUCCAAAGUGUCUCCUGAGCUUUUUAAGGAGCUUUGAAUGUUGUCUGCAGGACUUGAUCAUAGCUCAUGUUUUUAGAGUCGCAGAAGAACAACCCGUCCGUUCUUUUUCUGUUGCCAUCCGUUAGCUCUCCUGUCCUGAAAGAGCGGUUGAGGUUCUGGUUCCUCUGCGGUCAGUCUGAGUGAAGGAACAACUGCAGUGCGUCUAUGGCUCCUUCAGGCCAAAGCGGGGAUCUUCUCCCUGACAGAGAUGUGACGGUCCAAUGAUGGACAAUAGUAGGUCCAGUCCGGCUGGUUUUUCUCUUCAUUCAACCUCAACAUUUUCAUAAACAGUUCAAAGAUCUCUGAUGAACUCUUUUUGGGCUUUGUUCUGGUAAAUCCAGAGACAAAAGAAGCUAAAAUGUUAAAAGCUUUACACCCUUUACCAAAAAAAGGCAACAAAGGCCCAAGAAGUUCCCUUUUAGGUAGUUUGUGACAGAAAAACUGCUGUUUUUUGUGGGAAGACGAAGGUUUCUGACUCAACUAAAGUUCUGAAGAGUCACAGACUGGAAGACAGGAAACCACUUUAAAGCAAAGAGGAAAACUUUCAUCUAAAACAGAGUUUCACUGUUUGUUCGUGGAUGCAUGAGAGAGAAAGGAGCCGUUCUCAGAGUUUAUGUAGUUUUGGUCUAAAGGGAACCAAAAAUUAAAAAAAAGCAGGAAAAGAUUUGAGGUUAUAUGAGACGUUUUCUUUUUUUUUUUUUAUUAUAGAACAAUAAAAGCAGAAACUCUUGUCAAACUCAGAGCGCCAGCGAGCGCCUUGACGUCCGGUGGGGGGGGGCCCUCGCACACUUUCAUGUCCUGCAUUCAAACCCACAAAUGUAGAACAUAAAGACGACAAAGUGGGACAGGCCCAGUCCUGCCGCGCCUUUAAAAUGUUUCCAACAGUCGAAAGUUCAACAAUUUCCACUGUUUUUCUACGCUUUGUACUCGUAUAAAAGGGUUAUUAGUUCUGCUUUAUGAAAGUGAAUCAAUAAUAAAAUGAUAGAAAACACCCGUCGACUGCAGUGAGACGAAAACCACAGCCGUCAGAUAAAAAAGCAAAGAUCUGACACAGGAAACUGUGACACCAAAGUGUCUUAUUUUAUGAUCCUGAAGGGUGUUUUAUUUUGAAAAACUGCUGGAUGGUCUCCUCCACAUCUGUCUGGCUUCAGUCAUCCAGAAGCUGCUCCGUCAGCCAACAUCAGCGCUGAACCGACACCCCCAAAGUUAGCAAAGUGAACAAAAACAAGCGUCUUCCGACAGGGAGAGCAUUAGACUUCAAAAUAAAAGUAAAAUGCAAGAGUCUACACUAGAAAGAUGCAUUUAAUCAGACUGAAGCCAGCGAUUCUAAUGUUAAGAUGACGCUACUAAUAAAGUUUUAUACACGUUGAAAUUGCGCAGAAUUUAUAUUUAAUGAAGGUUUUGUUGUUAUAUUUAUUUAUAUAUUGUUUUUAUUUGCCACUUUUAAGGUUAGAAAGCAUUUUUUUUGCUUUCAGGUUAAGGGAAAAGUUAAGGGAAACUGCAUUAUUCAUCAUAUUUAAAUAGGGCCAACAUAAAAACUGGAGUUUGAAGAUAGAUUAGCCUGUCAUGAUUUUUUUGCAACUAUUUUGUUGAUGUAAUCUACAUCCUUUGUAAAAGACAAGUUUUUAAACUUGAUUUGAGUCGGACCCAUUCAAUAAAUCUUCCCUUACAAUUUCCCUUAACCACCAAAACAAAAGGGCUGAAAAAAAUCAACUUCCAAACUGUGGUGCAGAAAUGGAAGCAGCCGAUCUGAAACCAAACUACAAACACAAAAACCGAAGACGUGAUCCUCGGUUUUCUUUACAGUUUUCAUUGUUAAUCAUCUGGAUUUUCAGGUCUGAGUGUUAAAAAUAGGCAGCUUUCGUUUUCUCAUGUAACGGCUGGAAUGAGGAGAUUCUGGUGGAUUUCUGUAGCAGAGGUCGACGUCAGGACGUGUUUUCUGAAGGGCAACAGCUCGAUGAAACCUGACCGAAAUCCCACCCUAACCCCCAACUACUAAAAAACUAUAUACUAUAUUUAGAGCCCUGGUACUUUAAAAGCACUUCGGACGCCACUCUUACUACUUUUUUUUUUGAAACGGCUGGUAUGAUGCCAUCAAUUUCACGUAGUUAAAAUCUAAUUAAUAUGAGCAAUUUGAGACGUUAUUUCUGAGUCCACCAUCUUCUGAAGAUAAAAACGUUGAUGAUUGAUUUAAUAAAAAAACAGGGUGGGAUCAAGAAAUCAAAACACCUCAAAAGGAGGGAAGACUGCAGAGACAAACUGAGGCACAGCAAAGUCAAUACAACAAAAAAAACACACACACGUCAAGCAGACCUCCGUGUCAAGACUAGAAAAGUAACACAACAAAGUGACCACAGAGGUCAACUGAUGAUAACCUGAAGGUCACCGGCAUCGAACCGACAGCAGCACGGCCCUGACGCCACAUUCUUCCCAUACAAAAACACAGACAUGUUCCACUUAGAAUUGCACAAAUCCAACUCUCUCUAUAAAUAAAGCUGUCUCUUUAAAAAAAAAAAGUGAUGAAUCAACUGUUUAUUUAGAGACGGGUCGUUCCAAUAAGGCUGGAUUAACAGGAAAUCCCCACAAAUGUGUGUUUUGUGUGAUCACCGUUGUUGUUUCUGUCAUACUUUUGUAUUUCUGAGAGGUUGUUGAAAAAAGCCAGGAGCAACAGCUGGAUGAAAUGUGGAUUUAUGGAUGUGGAAACUCCCUGGAGAACCCCGACUGUUUCAAAGUCCCAGCUGAAAAAAGUGUCACCCUCGGAGCUCGUAAACAGAAACUCAACUUCAGCACUGACACAAAAAGCAGCCGGGACAACACCUGGAUCAGCGUUACCUGUCCUCGUCUGCCCCUCCAGAAAGACACCGCAGAGAAGCACAGGAUGAGGACGAAGGCCGUGAUUCCCCCACAAACCAAGACCAGGUCCAGCGUCAGGAUCUGGCAUCGGGCCUCAGGCCUUUUCUCUGAGGCAGACAUGGAAGAGACGUCAGAAAACAUCGGAUCAGAGCUCCACAGACACCGAUGGAUUCUGCUUCACCUCCGACGAUGACGACGGUGCCGUUGCUUUUCAGAUGUUUGACGCUGUGGACGUCCAGGUACGUCCAUGUGCAGUAGUACAAGUCGGUGUCGUCCUCCUUCAGCUUAGACAGCUGCAGUGUUACCUCGUACUCCGAAUCUGAACGCUCACGGGUCACACGGACCCUGUCUAUGAAGUCUGUGUCAGGAGUUUGCUUGAGGAUUCCACUUUUAUCCAAGGACAGGUACACAAUUUUUGUGCUGGCCUUGAAAGACCUGUAGAGGGUCAAGCCCAGCGUGUUUGGCAGGGAUGUGGAGCAGGAGAUCUCCAGGGACGAGUUGAUCUCCACCCGCAGCGUGGAUGCCGGGCGCUGAGAGGCUGUGAGGGACAGACUUUAACCUCAGCACAGAUUUUGAAGGUCAAGAUUUUACAGGAAAUACUUUUUUUGAUGAAUAAAGUUAGUUUCUGCUCUGAAAUCAUUUUUUUCUCUGCUAAGCCUGCAUUUCUGCAUGCACCUUUUCUGUCAGUUUCUGCUCGCAAACAGCAGGAAGCCGAAGCAAACAGGAAAAGAUGAUGACACAGGCUUGAAGAGUCUUCUGUGCAUCUUUAGGGCUUCUCCCUCAGGUAAGCUCACUCACCUGUCCAGCGCGCCCCCUCAGCGUUCACCCACAGAAGUCCGAACAGGCAGCUCCACCAGUGGGCCUUCAUCCUGCAGCUGGGUCUGCAGCAGGCGAGCUGCAGGACACGGAUGAGGCGCCCCGCCCGAGACCCGAGAGCUUCAAAUGCGCUGCAGAAAGGAAGUGUGAGCGUCUCUUCAUCAGCUGUGUGUGGGUGAGAGUGUUUCUCCUAAACUAUCAAAGACGUCAAACAGUUUACUGCUCAUGUGAGCAAUGUUCCAACAUUCAACCCUGCAAGACAGUCACAAUCUCCAGAAAAACAAAACACUUUCAAUGCUUGCAAAAACAAAAAAUGCAUUUUAAAGAUUCAACAAAUAUUCAUUUAUGCAUCUUUUGUGGGGAAAAAACAAAAAAUGCUUCUAAGUUUGGACUUGAAUCCGAUUGUGAUACAACUUUCUCUUUAAAAAUGUCAGAGCUGCUGUUUGCUGGUUUCGUCUCAUUGUCUCAUUCUGCUCUGUGUUGUUUUCUUCUUCUAACUUGUUUCUGUAUUAUCACCUGGAAAACCUUUUUUUUGUGUACGUUUAACCUGAUCUGUGUUUUAAAGUCACAUUAUAGUUUUCUGAAAGCAUCUCUUUUCACAUUUAAACAUCUCUAGACUGUUUUUCUAGAAGAAUUCACUCGUCCUGCUAUGAAACUGAGCUCAGGUGUUGCAACCGCAGCACAAAGACGGUCAAUAAAGACACGAGGAGCCAUUAUGAAGAGGAAGAACCUGACUUUCACAUCUUAUUGAUGAGUUCGGACCGGAACCUGUGAGGCAUCAGUGUUUAACCUCUGGAAGAUGAGUCACAAACCCUCCUGAACCCGUGCUGAAGCUGGAAACGCCACAGAGAGCAAAACAACAGUCUAUAGAUUUCCUUUGACAGGAAUCUGCAUCAGAUCUUAGUUUGAUGCCGUCCCUCCUUCUUCGUCCAUGUGAUGCUGGAGGAAAGACUUCGCUGCUCGGCUGCAGAGCAGUGGCGCUGCUGAAUGGACAAACACAUACAGUUGCGUUUUCAAAACACAUUUGAAAUGUCUGUGCAGGAAGGAAAAAACUGAAUCUGAUAAGAUUCUGUGACGGAGCGCAAACAGCAGAGCAUCCUGGAAGUUCAGCUGUCUUCACUGACAAGAAGAGAGAUAAGGACUUGAAGCCUCCAGUCUCAUUCUGACCACACAUCCUGCAUCAGAACAAUUUAUGUUUUGGGAUCUUUUUCUGUAAGAGAAACAAAAACAUGCCAGUUCUAACAUUUUCCACACCACAACAAGAUGAGGAGGUUGUUGUGAAUUGAAGUGAGAAGAUGAAGGAUUUCUUAUCAGGAUAUGAGUCAGAGAACUUGCAGGACCAGCUACGUUUCUUCACUCUGCUGUUCAUUUAUCUUUGUUUCACACCGGGGACGAAACACGCAUUCCUGAACAUGCAUGAAACCUACAGUGUUCACACUGAAUAAACAGGGAGGGGCUUCUCCACUGUUUGCCAGCUCAUGUUCGCCACCUACAGUUGGAAGAGAGAACAUGCGUUCAAUGGCCGCAUUUUUGUACAUAGAGUCCAAAAACAGUCGUAUAAACUUACAUAUGGCGUGUGAAUGCGAGAGUUUUGAAUGUGGACGCUCAAAGCGUGCACAUACGUGUGUUUGCUAAGACUUUUCAUUGGAAGUGGUCGUUUACACGUAGCAGAGGCUGGAGUGGACGUAGCUCGACUGUGUGGCUCCAUUUGCUGCAGUCUGUCGUCCACUUUCAGGAUAUUUACAUAAUGGAUAAUCAAUCCUAUCUGUGCUCGUCAAUGUCUCUUCUUGUGGUUUCCCUUCUACCUGUUUGGCCUGUUCCCCCAAACUCCUGCUUGCUCAGUUUCUAUUCUUUGACCGUCUACCAAUAAAUCAAAGCAGACAUUCCUUCCUGUUUGACGUUUCCUGCAGGGCUGCGGUUUUCAGGUGGAUUUGUUCCAAAUCCUUGGCCUUAUUGGACGAGCAAAAGAGAUUUUCACUUAACUGAGGUGUCAGCAAGAUGAGAUGUCAACCAGGGUCAGAACUUUGGUUGAGGUCAGCUGAGGUCAGGACCUUGGUCGAGCUUCUUUCAGUGUUCAGAUCAACGUUUGGUUCCAAAAGCAGUCAAGCAGUUCUGAGCCUGAAGGUUGAGCCUGAAGGGGAGACAGAGCCUUCUCCAUUGCUGCUCCAACCCUAUGGAACACUCUGCCCCAACAUCUCAGAGACUGCACUGACCUCCCAGUUU